CCCUGCCUUUUGUACACACCGCCCGUCGCACCUACCGAUUGGAUGGUCCGGUGAAGACCUCGGAUUGGCCCUGAUCUUCGGUGACGGGUCAAGAAGUAGUCUAAAUCUUACCAUCUAGAGGAAGGUGA
rnacentral:rRNA from 1 species